GAGACUGACUCCUCUGCAGAAACCGGCACCUGAGUGGGCGGCUCUGCGUCUGAGCAGCGAGUGCAGCGGUGAUCUGGCGCUUUAGAGCUACAAUUAUCAGCAAAACGCAACUUUGGCUCUCUGCACUCGUGUAAAGGGAUCUCUUCCUCUCGCCAAUCAUCCGCUGGUGAAAUUGGACUGGAAGAGGCGUCAGGUGCGCGACUCAGAGCGUCCGCCAGCUGGUUGGCCUUCCCUUUACGGACGCAGUGGUGCCUGGUAUGGUGGGCCUUCUUGAACUUGAAGGACUUGCUCAACGCCUUUUGCGAGCCCUGGCUUUUCUGAAAAAACGCCCUUUGAUUGGAAAAUGGUGACAAUUUGAGCGAUCUGAUUCUUCGAGUCGCACUCUAUUUUGUCUAGCAAGAGGCAUAGCUUUCGAAAAUGGAUGUUCCUCAUUGGGAGUACUUGUAUGGAACCAGCCAGUGGGUGUGACAGCAAUCAUUGCUUGCCGCAAGAAAUCUCUCCCAAGUAAAACUUGCUCUGAAUUGUCUGGCACAGCAAAGAAAUUAUGCACAAAACUGCCUGCAGUUUUAUUCGGUGCAUUGACCAUCUUAUGGCCUUGAUCUGACUGGCGGGGUGUCUGGCCAGAUGGACCUGAUGGCCUCCAUGUUAAGGCGAGUUGGCCUCUUCCUGCGGAACCUUGUCCUGCAGCCAUUGGAAGGCGCUGUGGUUGUGUGCCAGAGCGUUGUUGGAAAUUCACUAUGUUUGGUUGACCCUGAAUUGCAGGACGCACGCCAGGGUUGUAGCACCUGUGCAUCUGAGGGUUCAGGGACCGCAACGUAACUGGCUGCAGUGAUGUUUGAGUACCAAAUCGACUUUGCGGCUGAUUAUUGUGGACUUGAGGGUACUGUUUUGGAUGUCCACGGUAAGCAAUUUAGGGCUCUGCAAAGUCUGCAGCUGGUGGAGGCGGACGGUAAGUUUUUGUCCUAUAUAAUUCAGCCUGAAUUAGCUUUAAUGACUCAUCUAGUUCUGCCACUGACGUAAAUACGCGUCCUACUGUAUAACGCCUGUAUUCAGGGUGUAACAGGGAAAUCGCUUUUUUAUUAUAUCAGGGUUAGGGUAGUUUUGGUCUAUCUGUUUGCACAUCAGGUAGAUUUUAUGCAAGAAGACUGAUGGUGGUUCUUUUGCGUGCUGGAAGCGUUUCUCCAGGUCCCUUUUUAACUGCUCUUUGUAGUCAGGCGCGCAAUAUUCUUGCAUAAACGCUUGUUCAAACUGGUCCCAAGAAGUAAAGGUAUGGCUAUAAAUGGUAAACCAGUUGGCAGCCUCCUCCACUAGCGCUGUGGGGAGUCGAUAUUGCACUAGCUGCAGUAGGGAAAUUCCAUGAGCGAUAGCAAUUUGCUUUAUUUGCCUGAUAAAUUCGUAAGGCGAUUUUUUAUCAGCUCUGCCAGAAAAUGAUGGCACUGGAAUUUUUGCAAGCUUGA